GAUGAACGCUGGCGGCGUGCCUAAUACAUGCAAGUCGAGCGAACAGACGGGGAGCUUGCUCCUUCGACGUUAGCGGCGGACGGGUGAGUAACACGUAGGUAACCUACCUAUAAGACUGGGAUAACUUCGGGAAACCGGAGCUAAUACCGGAUAAUAUUUCGAACCGCAUGGUUCGAUAGUGAAAGAUGGCUUUGCUAUCACUUAUAGAUGGACCUGCGCCGUAUUAGCUAGUUGGUAAGGUAACGGCUUACCAAGGCAACGAUACGUAGCCGACCUGAGAGGGUGAUCGGCCACACUGGAACUGAGACACGGUCCAGACUCCUACGGGAGGCAGCAGUAGGGAAUCUUCCGCAAUGGGCGAAAGCCUGACGGAGCAACGCCGCGUGAGUGAUGAAGGUCUUCGGAUCGUAAAACUCUGUUAUUAGGGAAGAACAAACGUGUAAGUAACUGUGCACGUCUUGACGGUACCUAAUCAGAAAGCCACGGCUAACUACGUG
rnacentral:rRNA from 1 species